UAACAAGGAUUCCCUUAGUAACGGCGAGUGAACCGGGAAAAGCUCAAAUUUGUAAUCUGGCUGUCUUCGAUAGUCCGAGUUGUAAUCUAUAGACGUGUUUUCCGUGCUGGACCGUAUCUAAGUCCCUUGGAACAGGGUAUCAAAGAGGGUGACAAUCCCGUGCUUGAUACGACCACCAGUGCUCUGUGAUACACGCUCUACGAGUCGAGUUGUUUGGGAAUGCAGCUCAAAAUGGGUGGUAAAUUCCAUCUAAAGCUAAAUAUUGGCGAGAGACCGAUAGCGAACAAGUACCGUGAGGGAAAGAUGAAAAGCACUUUGGAAAGAGAGUUAAACAGUACGUGAAAUUGUUGAAAGGGAAACGAUUGAAGUCAGUCGUGUUCUUUGGAUUCAGCUAGUUCUUCUAGUCUACUUCCUUUGAACGGGUCAACAUCAGUUUUGUCCGGUGGAUAAAGAUAGUAGGAAUGUAGCUCCCUCGGGAGUGUUAUAGACUAUUAUUGCAUGCACUGGGUGAGACUGAGGACUGCAGCUCGCCUUUUGGCCGGCCUUC
rnacentral:rRNA from 1 species